rfam:Gossypium hirsutum cultivar TM-1 unplaced genomic scaffold scaffold732.1, whole genome shotgun sequence
UGUUAAAAGUUUUAUCCAUUUAUAUUGUUAAAAAUUGGCGUGACUGAUGAAAUAACCAAACAUUGACACGUGGCAUGCCACAUAAGCCUCAUGCUGAGAUACAAGCACCAGUUUUUAACAGUAGAUUUGGAUGAAUUUUUUAAUA